UACGGAGGGGGCUAGCGUUGUUCGGAAUUACUGGGCGUAAAGCGCACGUAGGCGGCUUUGUAAGUUAGAGGUGAAAGCCCAGGGCUUAACCUUGGAAUUGCCUUUAAGACUGCAUCGCUAGAAUCGUGGAGAGGUAAGUGGAAUUCCGAGUGUAGAGGUGAAAUUCGUAGAUAUUCGGAAGAACACCAGUGGCGAAGGCGACUUACUGGACACGUAUUGACGCUGAGGUGCGAAAGCGUGGGGAGCAAACAGG
rnacentral:rRNA from 1 species